UUGGUUUAACUGUCACUGGGGGAGCUAAACAGACAGCCAAGGAGGGGUUGGAGACAGAACUAUCAGUAUGCAAAAGAAGAAUAAAACGUACCCACAUUUUGAUUGGUGGUUGCAGGUUUAGAAUAUUCAGUUAGACAAUGUGAUUGGCUGGGGCUGGACCAGAGGGGGCAGAAGAAGUGAAUAUAUGGCAGUUAAAGUCAGUUAGGGUUAGUCCAUGUUGCUCAGAGAGGAGUCAGCAUUUGUUGGUGCUUGGUGUUCAUGGUGGGCAGCCAGAAGAAGAGAACAAAGAAGAUUAAGGAACAAGAGGACAUGAAAGGAAGGCUGGGGUAGCUGAAUUGGCUUGGCUCAGGCUGAAGAGUGGAGAAGAAGUGAGAGGCAGUUUGGAAUGCCAGGCUCUGUCUGGUGUCAGGUAGGAGAGAAAGAUUCCAGAGCAGAGCAACGGAAACAGCCCUGUGCUUCAGCAGGCUAAAUACCAGAAGUGUCUCUAUCUGUGAGAAGAGUGCUUGGGGAGAAGGUUGCAAGAAGGCUCUGCGGGACUUCCUUCCCAGGGAAGUCUGUUUUGUCCCCUUUUCGAUGGACUUUCAUCAGUGAGUGAAGACAAUCCUUUUCUGGCAGCAUUCCAACCAAACUAAAUUACCUUACAAUGAGCAAAAGUCACUGUAAACUGGAUAUCCUUGGUCAGAGGUGAAGGCACAUCUGGGUCUACAACUGGUGCUGCAACAGUUGACUCACACUGAUCCCAGAAGGUGUAUUGACAAAAGACAAAGUUUGAGAGAUUCAAAGGUAGUCCUGUUGCUUCUUUAAUUUUUACCUAGACAACAGUAAAACUGUAAUUCAAUAUACUGGCAUAUUUAUAUUAAUAUAUUCAGCUAUACUCAGAAUAUUCAGUUAGACAAUGGUUGACUAAGUAAGGCCAAUUUUAUCUCACAGCUAGGCUCAUAAAACAAUCUAAAAAUUAACACUCAAUAUAUACAAUAUGUUUAACAAACAAAAGCAUCGUAAGAUUAUUUGGUAAUCCUUGUCCACACACAUGUACUGCUGGACAAGCAUUGAAAACUUCAACUGCUGUAAAUUAGCUAACCCCAAUGAAUGGCUUACAUUUUUAAAUUGUUGACUUUACUUGUCUAAAACUUCCAUCCAAGGUGCAGACUAUAGUAUGAACAUACGACAAAUAAAGAUAAACUAAAUCUCUGAAGGUGUAUGGAAACCAACUGGAAAUGGAUGAGUGACAAGAUUUAGAACACCGGAGGAGCAAGUGAACUAUAGUCAAAAAUUUGGUCGUCAGUACAUGAAAUUCAGUGGCUUGGUCAUUUGCCCUCUACUCAAAGCAUUUCUAUUUAAUGUUUCAGUGGCCCCAAUCUUCUCGUGUCCCUAGACUGUGUUCCCAUCCUGACUGCUGUCUUAUUGCAGGUGUAUGCAGCAAGACAUCAUUGAUGCAUUAAUAGUGGCUUUAUCGUGCCUUUCCUUCCUUAAUACAUACCUGCUGCUCAUAGCAGAAUAGAUGACACCAGAGACUGAAACUUACCUCCCCCUGUUGGCUAAUUAUUGGUACUGCAUACUGAAGUUUAACAUCACAGAAAAGGCACUCCAAAAAGACAUUCGCUACACCAAUUAAAUUGUGGUUUUCUUGUGCUUCAUAGAAAGGGUCACCUCUUUUUCCAGUGAGUCUCUUCAUCUGUUUUUUAAAAAGACAAUUAAAAUUUCAAAAACAAAAAUGAUUUAGCAUUGUGAUCCAACAUGGAUGUGCUAAAAAAUUAUGAGCUACAUCCAAUAAAGUCAUAUUCAAAUCCCCA